rnacentral:rRNA from 1 species
CCUACGGGGGGCUGCAGUGGGGAAUUUUGGACAAUGGGGGCAACCCUGAUCCAGCCAUGCCGCGUGAGUGAAGAAGGCCUUCGGGUUGUAAAGCUCUUUCAGCCGGGAAGAAAACGCACGCUCUAACAUAGCGUGUGGAUGACGGUACCGGACCAAGAAGCACCGGCUAACUACGUGCCAGCAGCCGCGGUAAUACGUAGGGUGCGAGCGUUAAUCGGAAUUACUGGGCGUAAAGCGUGCGCAGGCGGUUUUGUAAGACAGAUGUGAAAUCCCCGGGCUUAACCUGGGAACUGCGUUUGUGACUGCAAGGCUAGAGUACGGCAGAGGGGGGUGGAAUUCCGCGUGUAGCAGUGAAAUGCGUAGAGAUGCGGAGGAACACCGAUGGCGAAGGCAACCCCCUGGGCCUGUACUGACGCUCAUGCACGAAAGCGUGGGGAGCAAACAGGCUUAGAUACCCCAGUAGUC